rnacentral:rRNA from 1 species
GAUGAACGCUAGCGGCAAGCCUAACACAUGCAAGUCGAACGGUAACUUUUGGUGCUUGCACCGAAAGACGAGUGGCGAACGGGUGCGUAACGCGUAUGCAAUUUACCUUUUACUAGGGAAUAGCCCGGAGAAAUUUGGAUUAAUCCCCUAUAAUAUCAUGAAUUCGCAUGAUUUUAUGAUUAAAGCUUCGGCGGUAAAAGAUGAGCAUGCGUCCUAUUAGUUAGUAGGUGAGGUAACGGCUCACCUAGACUACGAUAGGUAGGGGUCCUGAGAGGGAGAUCCCCCACACUGGUACUGAGACACGGACCAGACUCCUACGGGAGCAGCAGUGAGGAAUAUUGGACAAUGGACGAAAGUCUGAUCCAGCUAUGCCGCGUGCAGGAUGACGGCCCUAUGGGUU